UAGAUUGAAGCCAGUAGUAGGGUAUUUAGCUGUUAACUAAAUUUUUCGUAGGUUUUAAUCCUUCCAAUCUAG
rnacentral:tRNA from 1 species